CCAGGUGGCCGGGCGGCCGCUGGUUCCCGCGCAGGCGGGGGCUGGAGGAAAGUCCGGGCUCCACAGGAAUACGGUGCCGGCUAACGGCCGGCGGGGGUCAAACCCCAGGGAAAGUGCCACAGAGAGCAAACCGCCCGGCCACCGCGAGGUCGCCGGGCAAGGGUGAAAGGGUGCGGUAAGAGCGCACCGCGCCCCCCGGCGACGGGGGCGGCAUGGCAAACCCCACCGGGAGCAAGGCCGAAUAGGGGCGGCCGGCGGAGCCUUGCCGGGGGUCAUUCCCCGGCAGGUGGAAGCGGGGGCAUUCCUGCCCCGUCGCCCGGGUUGGCCGCGCGAGGCGUGCCGCAAGGCACGUCCCAGAGGAAUGGUCGCCUAUCCCCAUAAUUCCAGGGGGUGGACAGAACCCGGCUUACAGGCCGCCUGGCGCA
rnacentral:RNase_P_RNA from 1 species